GACGAACGCUGGCGGCGUGCCUAACACAUGCAAGUGGAGCGACGAACCAGGCUUCGGCCUGGGGCAAAGCCGCGAACGGGUGAGUAACACGUGGGUAACCUGCCCUGAUGAUUGGGACAACCCGAGGAAACUCGGGCUAAUACCGAAUGUGCCCUCCGGCCUCAAGGCCGCUGGGGAAAGGAAGCUUCGGCCUCCGCAUCGGGAUGGGCCCGCGGCCCAUUAGCUUGUUGGUGAGGUAACGGCNCACCAAGGCGACGAUGGGUAGCUGGUCUGAGAGGACGAUCAGCCACACUGGGACUGAGACACGGCCAGACUCCUACGGGAGGCAGCAGUGGGGAAUCUUGCGCAAUGCGCGAAAGCGUGACGCAGCAACGCCGCGUGGGGAAGAAGGCCU
rnacentral:rRNA from 1 species